AACGAACGCUGGCGGCAGGCUUAACACAUGCAAGUCGAGCGCACCUUCGGGUGAGCGGCGGACGGGUGAGUAACGCGUGGGAAUAUACCCUUCACUGCGGAAUAGCCUCUGGAAACGGAGAGUAAUACCGCAUACGCCCUUCGGGGGAAAGAUUUAUCGGUGAAGGAUUAGCCCGCGUUGGAUUAGGUAGUUGGUGGGGUAAAGGCCUACCAAGCCGACGAUCCAUAGCUGGUUUGAGAGGAUGAUCAGCCACACUGGGACUGAGACACGGCCCAGACUCCUACGGGAGGCAGCAGUGGGGAAUCUUAGACAAUGGGCGCAAGCCUGAUCUAGCCAUGCCGCGUGAGUGACGAAGGCCUUAGGGUCGUAAAGCUCUUUCGCUAGGGAAGAUAAUGACGGUACCUAGUAAAGAAGUCCCGGCUAACUCCG
rnacentral:rRNA from 1 species